AACUUUUAACAACGGAUCUCUAGGCUCUCGCAUCGAUGAAGAACGUAGCAAAUUGCGAUAACUAUUGUGAAUUGCAUUUCGUGAAUCAUCAAGUUUUUGAACGCAUCUUGCACUCUGUGGUAUUCCGCAGAGUACACUUGUUUCAGUAUCAUAU
rnacentral:rRNA from 2 species